UACGAGGGGGGGCAAGCGUUGUUCGGAAUUAUUGGGCGUAAAGGGUGCGUAGGCGGUUUGGUAAGUCUUAUGUGAAAUCUACAGGCUCAACUUGUAGUCUGCAUGAGAAACUGCCGGGCUUGAGUAUGGGAGAGGUGAGUGGAAUUCCUGGUGUAGCGGUGAAAUGCGUAGAUAUCAGGAGGAACACCUGUGGCGAAAGCGGCUCACUGGACCAUAACUGACGCUGAUGCACGAAAGCUAGGGGAGCAAACAGG
rnacentral:rRNA from 1 species